rnacentral:rRNA from 1 species
AUACGUAGGGAGCGAGCGUUGUCCGGAAUUACUGGGUGUAAAGGGAGCGUAGGCGGGAGUGCAAGUAAGAUGUGAAAUACAUGGGCUCAACCCAUGGGCUGCAUUUGAAACUGCAUUUCUUGAGUGACGUAGAGGUAAGCGGAAUUCCUGGUGUAGCGGUGAAAUGCGUAGAUAUCAGGAGGAACACCGGUGGCGAAGGCGGCUUACUGAGCUGUUAGUGACGCUGAGGCUCUAAAGCGUGUGGAGCAAACAGGAUUAGAUACCCUUGUAGUCCACGCCGUAAACGAUGAUUACUAGGUGUGGGGGGAUAGACCCCUUCCGUGCCGCAGUUCACACAAUAAUUAAUCCACCUGGGUAGUACGGCCGCAAGGUUGAAACUCAAAUGAAUUGACGGGG